rnacentral:rRNA from 1 species
AUUGAACGCUGGCGGCAGGCUUAACACAUGCAAGUCGAACGAGUGGCGGACGGGUGAGUAAUGCCUGGGAAUCUGCCUUAUGGAGGGGGAUAACAACUGGAAACGGUCGCUAAUACCGCAUACCAUCAGCUGUGCCCAGAUGGGAUUAGCUUGUUGGUGGGGUAAUGGCUCACCAAGGCGACGAUCCCUAGCUGGUCUGAGAUGAUGACCAGCCACACUGGAACGGAGACACGGCCCGGUCUCCUACGGGAGGCAGCAGUGGGGAAUAGGGCACAAUGGGCGCAACCCUGAUGCAGCCAUGCCGCGUGUAUGAAGAAGGCCUUCGGGUUGUAAAGUUCUUUCGGCGAUGAGGCGUUACCCACAGAAGAAGCACCGGCUAACUCCGUGCCAGCAGCCGCGGUAAUUC